rnacentral:rRNA from 1 species
UACGGAGGGUGCAAGCGUUAUCCGGAUUCACUGGGCUUAAAGGGUGCGUAGGUGGAUUGGUAAGUCAGUGGUGAAAUCUCCGGGCUUAACCCGGAAACUGCCAUUGAUACUAUCAGUCUUGAAUACCGUGGAGGUCAGUAGAAUAUGUCAUGUAGCGGUGAAAUGCUUAGAUAUGACAUAGAAUACCAAUUGCGAAGGCAGCUGGCUACACGAAUAUUGACACUCAGGCACGAAAGCGUGGGGAGCAAACAGG